CUCUCGCUCUCUCUCUCUCUCUCUCUCCCUCUCUCUCAAGGACGAAGUGAAAUCCCUCGGCUGGUCAUGAGGCAGCUUCGGAGACAACACAAUGCUGGUGCAAAUAAAUAACAAAAGGCGAAAAAGACAGUGGGAACAAUGGGGGAGGCGAGGGCAGCGCUCCAGCCGCCGGUGACCGUGGCCAGCGCGCGCCCCGGGGUGCGGCGGGCGGGGGCGGCACAGCGCGGGGGCCGGGAUUGCUGCAGGUUGUCCCCCAGAACCUGGGGUCCACCCUGACCUCCUGCCCGCGGCCGCGCGCCUGUAUCGGAAGCCCGGGAGCCCCUUACGGUCUUCCUGCUCUGCCGCAGCCCAACUGGCUUGUAAAUAACGCACCGAUCACCCACACCGUGCAGGAAUUUUUUUCUUCCUUUAAUCUGUCCUCCACUUAAAGACGAAAUGUCAGGAGUGGAAGGAGGAGGGUAGGAGAGGGGAGCUCGCGUCUAUUCCUGAGACAUCGUGUCUGGUCAAGUCCCCUUUGUCAACUUCUUUCUCGCCCUGCGCCCACCCCCGUGUGCAAACAGGCUUUCACCGGAUGGCACGGGCACGCGCGUGGGGAGUCUGUGUGUGUCCGUGGAACCUUCUAGGUGGUCAGCAGACCCUGGCUGGAGAGCCCGGAGUCUCUGGCCACUAUUGCCUUCCCUGAGCCUGGCUCUGCACCCAGGUCCCCCGCUGCUGCCUUUUACAGCGCUCCUCACUCACCCACUCUUUGGGGGAGAGGGAUGGAAGGAAAGUUCAGAAGCUCUCUGAUCUCCACCUCUGGGGUGGCUGAAGUGGUUUGAUUCUGUGUGCAUUCAGCCAAGAAAAAAAAAAAAUUAUCACCGGAUGCCCAAGAGCCAGAGGUUGAUAUUGAGGGCGAGAUGAGGCUGGGCACUGAGUUCCGGAGCUGCGCCACUCGGGAGCGCGAGUUACAUCACCCACCAGCAGAAACUCGAGCAGAGCCCUUGGAGCAGCUUGGGAACCAGGCUCAGGACCUGCCAGUCAAAGGCUGGCUCUCUCUGGCUGACUUAUUCCCUGACUCCUGUCUACAGCACAGUUGUUAAGAAGCAAUACAGACAGUGUCUGGAUGCCCAGGACACCCACAAGCUUGAAAAGGUGCUUCUCGAUUUCUGCCCCUUUUAUCCUUGCACAGACUUGCAAGAAGUGUGACAUUCCUGCUCUGCAGAAGAGAGAAGGGAAGCUUGGCAAGGCCCAGGGACUCAUCAAAGGCCUUGAUGUAUGGGAGCCACAGCACCAGGGUGCACAUCGGACUUGGCCAGCUCCAAGACAGGCCAUUCCACUUCCCCUUGACUCCUCCCAUAUCAUGCCAAGGCCAGUUCACAGUGGCAAAUAUUAGGUCAUUAUAUAUGUACAACUUAAGAUAACAAAUUUAACAUUGGGUUCCAGUUCAUGAGUAGAGAACUUGUCAUUAAUAGAGCACUUGUCUAGCAUGUACAUGACUCUGGUCUGGGUUCCCAU